rnacentral:rRNA from 1 species
UACGAGGGAUGCAAGCGUUAUCCGGAAUUAUUGGGCGUAAAGCGUUUGUAGGCGGGCGAGUGUGUUUAAUGUUAAAUCUUAAGGCUCAACUUUGAAAUUGCGUUAAAAACUGCUUGUCUUGAGUAUGGUAGGGGUAAAGGGAAUUCCCAGUGUAGCGGUGAAAUGCGUAGAUAUUGGGAAGAACACUAAACAGCGAAGGCACUUUACUAGGCUAAUACUGACGCUGAGAAACGAAAGGUAAGGUAGCGAAACGGAUUAGAUACCCGUGUAGUCUUACCCGUAAACCAUGGACACUAAACGGUAAAUUUUUAAUUUACUGUUAAAGCUAACGCGUUAAGUGUCCCGCCUGGGGAGUAUGCUUGCAAAAGUGAAACUCAAAGGAAUUGACGGGGGCCCGCACAAGCGGUGGAGCAUGUGGUUUAAUUCGACGGUACACGAAGAACCUUACCAGGAUUUGACAUGCUAGAUAGUUGCUUGAAAGAGUAACGUGCCGUAAGGAAUCUAGACACAGGUGGUGCAUGGCUGUCGUCAGUUCGUGUUGUGAAAUGUUGGGUUAAGUCCCGCAACGAACGCAACCCUUGUCUUUAGUUAUUUUCUAAAGAGACUGCCUGUAAUAAACAGGAGGAAGGUAAGGAUGAGGUCAAGUCAUCAUGCCCCUUAUGUCCUGGGCUACACACGUGCUACAAUGGGAAAGACAAUGAGCUGCAAAUCUGUAAAUUUAAGCAAAUCUCUUAAACUUUCUCGUAGUUCGGAUUGUGGGCUGCAACUCGCCCACAUGAAGUUGGAAUCGCUAGUAAUCGCCAGUCAGCUAUAUGGCGGUGAAUCCGUUCCCGGGCCU